CAACCAUCAAGCCCUCGGGCUUGCGUUGGGGCCCUGCGGCUGCCGCAGGCCCCUAAAAGCAGUGGCGGGCUCGCUGUCACACCGAGCGCAGUAGCAUUUCUUCGCUCUGGGCGCGGCGGCGGGCGCUUGCCGUAAAACACACCACUUUUUUAA
rnacentral:misc_RNA from 1 species